GACGAACGCUGGCGGCGCGCCUAACACAUGCAAGUCGAACGGAGUUUGUUGGAUUGAUCCUUCGGGUGAUUGAUAGCAAACUUAGUGGCGGACGGGUGAGUAACACGUGAGCAACCUGCCUUACAGAGGGGGAUAACGUUCUGAAAAGAACGCUAAUACCGCAUAACAUAUUGAGUGGGCAUCCACUUGAUAUCAAAGGAGCAAUCCGCUGUAAGAUGGGCUCGCGUCCGAUUAGCCAGUUGGCGGGGUAACGGCCCACCAAAGCGACGAUCGGUAGCCGGACUGAGAGGUUGAACGGCCACAUUGGGACUGAGACACGGCCCAG
rnacentral:rRNA from 1 species